rnacentral:rRNA from 1 species
AGUGAACGCUGGCGGUAGGCCUAACACAUGCAAGUCGAACGGCGGCACAGUAAGAGCUUGCUCUUACGGGUGGCGAGUGGCGGACGGGUGAGGAAUACAUCGGAAUCUACUUUUUCGUGGGGGAUAACGUAGGGAAACUUACGCUAAUACCGCAUACGACCUACGGGUGAAAGCAGGGGAUCUUCGGACCUUGCGCGGUUGAAUGAGCCGAUGUCGGAUUAGCUAGUUGGCGGGGUAAAGGCCCACCAAGGCGACGAUCCGUAGCUGGUCUGAGAGGAUGAUCAGCCACACUGGAACUGAGACACGGUCCAGACUCCUACGGGAGGCAGCAGUGGGGAAUAUUGGACAAUGGGCGCAAGCCUGAUCCAGCCAUACCGCGUGGGUGAAGAAGGCCUUCGGGUUGUAAAGCCCUUUUGUUGGGAAAGAAAAGCAGCAGGUUAAUACCCCGCUGUUCUGACGGUACCCAAAGAAUAAGCACCGGCUAACUUCGUG